rnacentral:piRNA from 1 species
UGGUUUUCCUGGGCUGUGGGGAG